rnacentral:tRNA from 1 species
CAGAGAAUAGUUUAAUUAAGAAUUUUAAUUUUGGAGAUUAAAGGAGGGUUGUUUCUCUUCUCUGA